GACGAACGCUGGCGGCGUGCCUAAUACAUGCAAGUAGAACGCUGAAGGAGGAGCUUGCUUCUCUGGAUGAGUUGCGAACGGGUGAGUAACGCGUAGGUAACCUGCCUGGUAGCGGGGGAUAACUAUUGGAAACGAUAGCUAAUACCGCAUAAGAGUAGAUGUUGCAUGACAUUUGCUUAAAAGGUGCAAUUGCAUCACUACCAGAUGGACCUGCGUUGUAUUAGCUAGUUGGUGGGGUAACGGCUCACCAAGGCGACGAUACAUAGCCGACCUGAGAGGGGGAUCGGCCACACUGGGACUGAGACACGGGCCAGACUUCUACGGGAGGGAGCAGUAGGGGAUCUUCGGCAAUGGACGGAAGUCUGACCGAGCAACGCCGCGUGAGUGAAGAAGGGUUUCGGAUCGUAAAGCUCUGUUGUAAGAGAAGAACGAGUGUGAGAGUGGAAAGUUCACACUGUGACGGUAUCUUACCAGAAAGGGACGGCUAACUACGUG
rnacentral:rRNA from 1 species